rnacentral:rRNA from 1 species
AUGAACGCCGCGGUCUGCAGCGCGUCCGUGACCUCCAUUGCCGUGGUGGCAUGGUUCCCGUGGACCCGGGUGGUGAUCGGCGCCGAGGCUGGCCGCCCCGCUUGGGAGGUCCUCCACCGAGGGCUUUUCCUUAGGAGCAUCUUGCCCUUCCAAGGAAGGCUUUACGCCACCGUCGCCAUGGGUGGCUCAAUGAAGAUCAUACAGCUGUACCCGAGAUCACCCCACCCUGUGCUUGCUCAUGUUCCAAAUGAUUUUGGUGUUCUGGACCUAUGCAGCUACUUCCUCAACAGGGAUCGGUGCCUGUCUGUUUCGGCCAGGGACCUCCCAUCUGUCAGCAGCAACUCCAUUUACUUCUCUUUGCACCGUGACCCUGUUGUGGUGCACUCGGUAAGGACAGGUUUCUCUGAGCAGCUAGCAGUGUCAUGCCAAAUACAUGACGGGAAGGAUAGGAUCCGACCCUCCGUGCGCCCUUUCACCAUUGCUGACCAUCUUCUAACCUACUGCCAUCCUCAUGAGUGGACAAAAGGACUCAUGUUUCAUGAGUACCACUCUAUACCUGAAUCUUUCGAGGAAUUGAGGAAGAACAUCAAGGCAAAAGAUUCUGAACUAUGGAUUCCUCGCUUUGCAGUUUGUUGA